CUUUGGGGUGUGACUGCGUACCUUUUGUAUAAUGGGUCAGCGACUUAUAUUCUGUAGCAAGGUUAACCGAAUAGGGGAGCCGGAGGGAAACCGAGUCUUAACCGGGCGUUAAGUUGCAGGGUAUAGACCCGAAACCCGGUGAUCUAGCCAUGGGCAGGUUGAAGGUUGGGUAACACUAACUGGAGGACCGAACCGACUAAUGUUGAAAAAUUAGCGGAUGACCUGUGGCUGGGGGUGAAAGGCCAAUCAAACCGGGAGAUAGCUGGUUCUCCCCGAAAGCUAUUUAGGUAGCGCCUCGUGAAUUCAUCUCCGGGGGUAGAGCACUGUUUCGGCUAGGGGGCCAUCCCGGCUUACCAACCCGAUGCAAACUGCGAAUACCGGAGAAUGUUAUCACGGGAGACACACGGCGGGUGCUAACGUCCGUCGUGAAGAGGGAAACAACCCAGACCGCCAGCUAAGGUCCCAAAGUCAUGGUUAAGUGGGAAACGAUGUGGGAAGGCCCAGACAGCCAGGAUGUUGGCUUAGAAGCAGCCAUCAUUUAAAGAAAGCGUAAUAGCUCACUGGUCGAGUCGGCCUGCGCGGAAGAUGUAACGGGGCUAAACCAU
rnacentral:rRNA from 1 species